rnacentral:rRNA from 1 species
UACAGAGGUCCCAAGCGUUAGGCGGAAUCACUGGGCUUAAAGCGUGUGUAGGUGGACUUGUAAGUACCUUGUGAAAUCCCAUGGCUCAACCAUGGAACUGCUCGGUAUACUGCGAAUCUUGAGCCACUUAGGGGCUACCGGAACAAAUGGUGGAGCGGUGAAAUGCGUAGAUAUCAUUUGGAACGCCAAUGGUGAAAACAGGUAGCUGGGAGUGUGCUGACACUGAGACACGAAAGCCAGGGGAGCGAACGGG